ACCUGUUCCAAUCCGCGGUUCCUCUACCUACCUGUUUGCCCACCCCUAAUGUCACGUGCUUCGCUCUUUCUACAAAGUCCGCAGAGUUAAGAAGAAAAAAGAAGUGUUGGAUCAAAAUCAUCCGAUUAGAUUUGCUGAGUGCAAGUAAUCAACCGCAUCAAUGGCAUAUAGAGGGCGUGGAUGCGGUGGAUUUUCAGGUGGGGGCGGUUUUGGCUUUGCCAAGCAAGAGUCUUUUGUGCUUUUUCCUGACAUUGAUUUGUGUAUUCCCAAAGGUAUAUCUGAUCUAGAGAAAAAACACACUCGUACCGAGGAAGAAAACUUAAUCAAUCAAACUCGCAAGUUUCAAAAUAUUUGGAAAGGCUUUCCUUAUUAUCUUGAGCAGAGCCCUUCGAAUGAGAAGCAAAACAUGGAUGUGGAAAGAUAUUCUGACAGGACAAAGCCAAAAACCACGAUAAGACGCGGUUCUCUUUUUAGUAUAUUGGAGCUCAAGGGAUUUCCUCAAGAACUGACUGGAGGUUCAAGGGUACAGCAGCCUGGCCGAAAGAGAGUUAGAUGGAAUCCUGACUCAGAGCUGGUGAAGUUGGAUUUAUUUGAAAAGCUUGAGCAGUGUCAGGGCCAAAAUGAUGCAAAAGAAAAGAAAGAAUGUGAAGGUGAGGAUGUAAAUGAAAAUGAGGAGGAGGCAGAACCAGAGGACGAGGACUUUAGUGAUGAUGAUUACUAUAAGAACUCUGAUUUUGAUGAUGAUGAAGAUGAUUAUAAUAUGGAAGAUGACGGUGACGGCGAACCUCUUUUAUAGCGAGAAGGUGUAGCGUACGACGCGUACAUCUCAUGUCUCUUCCAUAAAACGGGCAAUGAGAGGAUAGGAAAUGUGCGACAGAAGCUCGUUGCGAUCCUCCAACGCCAAUAAUCAUUGGAGUAGAUGGGGGCUGCAGCACAUCACUACCAGAGGAAAUGCCAUAUUUUAUAUAUGGUUUGAAUAGCUGAACAGAAAAGCUUCGUUCUAUAUGUUAUCAAUCUCUAAUGGUAUCUAUUGUUAAAUGAUGUUUUGGGAUCAUGAGGGGAAGAUUAAUUCGAAGAUGUAUGCAGGUGCUACUUAUAUCGAAAUGCAUUGGUUUCGACAUUACCCUCCUCUUCA